UGCGUAGGGUGCGAGCGUUAAUCGGAAUUACUGGGCGUAAAGCGUGCGCAGGCGGUUAUUUAAGUCAGGUGUGAAAGCCCUGGGCUUAACCUAGGAAUUGCGCUUGAGACUGGAUAGCUUGGAGUGCGGCAGAGGGAGGUGGAAUUCCACGUGUAGCAGUGAAAUGCGUAGAGAUGUGGAGGAACACCGAUGGCGAAGGCAGCCUCCUGGGCCAGCACUGACGCUCAUGCACGAAAGCGUGGGGAGCAAACAGG
rnacentral:rRNA from 1 species